rnacentral:rRNA from 1 species
CCUACGGGGGGCAGCAGUGGGGAAUAUUGGACAAUGGGGGCAACCCUGAUCCAGCCAUGCCGCGUGUGUGAAGAAGGCCCUCGGGUUGUAAAGCACUUUCAGUGAGGAAGAACGCCUGGUGGUUAAUACCCAUCAGGAAAGACAUCACUCACAGAAGAAGCACCGGCUAACUCCGUGCCAGCAGCCGCGGUAAUACGGAGGGUGCGAGCGUUAAUCGGAAUUACUGGGCGUAAAGCGCGCGUAGGUGGCUUGAUAAGCCGGUUGUGAAAGCCCCGGGCUCAACCUGGGAACGGCAUCCGGAACUGUCAAGCUAGAGUGCAGGAGAGGAAGGUAGAAUUCCCGGUGUAGCGGUGAAAUGCGUAGAGAUCGGGAGGAAUACCAGUGGCGAAGGAGGCCUUCUGGACUGACACUGACACUGAGGUGCGAAAGCGUGGGUAGCACACAGGAUUAGAUACUCUAGUAGUC